GNGGGAUAACUCCGGGAAACUGGAGCUAAUACCGCAUGAUAACUGAGGUUCAAAGGUCGCAAGACCGCCUUGAGAGGGGCCUGCGUUCGAUUAGUUAGUUGGUGGGGUAAUGGCCUACCAAGACGAUGAUCGAUAGCUGGUUUGAGAGGAUGAUCAGCCACACUGGGACUGAGACACGGCCCAGACUCCUACGGGAGGCAGCAGUGGGGAAUAUUGGACAAUGGGGGCAACCCUGAUCCANCAAUGCCGCGUGUGUGAAGAAGGUCUUCGGAUUGUAAAACACUUUCGUUGGGGACGAUGAUGACGGUACCCAAAGAAGAAGCCCCGGCUAACUUCGUGCCAGCAGCCGCGGUAAUACGAAGGGGGCGAGCGUUGCUCGGAAUAACUGGGCGUAAAGGGCGCGUAGGCGGCCGAUAGCUGUCUGAUGUGAAAUUUUUGGGCUCAACCCGAAAACUGCNUUUGAUACNUAUUGNCUAGAGUGCGAGAGANGAUUGCGGAAUUCCCAGUGUAGAGGUGAAAUUCNUAGAUAUUGGGAAGAACACCANUUGC
rnacentral:rRNA from 1 species